GUGCCAGCCGCCGCGGUAAUACGGAGGGUGCAAGCGUUAAUCGGAAUUACUGGGCGUAAAGCGCGCGUAGGCGGCUUGUUAAGCCAGAUGUGAAAGCCCCGGGCUUAACCUGGGAACUGCAUUUGGAACUGGCAGGCUAGAGUACAGAAGAGGGUGGUAGAAUUUCCUGUGUAGCGGUGAAAUGCGUAGAUAUAGGAAGGAAUACCAGUGGCGAAGGCGGCCACCUGGUCUGAUACUGACGCUGAGGUGCGAAAGCGUGGGGAGCAAACAGGAUUAGAUACCCCAGUAGUCC
rnacentral:rRNA from 1 species